rnacentral:rRNA from 1 species
CCUACGGGCGGCAGCAGUGAGGAAUAUUGGUCAAUGGGCUUACGCCUGAACCAGCCAAGUCGCGUGAAGGAAGACUGCCCUAUGGGUUGUAAACCUCUUUUGUCAGGGAGCAACGCCGACUACGUAUAGCCGGACUGAGAGUACCUGAGGAAAACGCAUCGCCUAACUCCGGGCAUGCGGCCGCGGUAAUACGGAGGAUGAGAGCGUUAACAGAAUUUAUGGGGUUUAAGGGGUGCGUAGGAGGAAUGCCAAGUCAGCGGGAAAAUCGCGGGGCUAAACCUCGCUCUGCGGUUGAAACUGGCGUUCAUGAGUGGGAGAGAAGUAUGCGGAAUGCGUGGUGUAGCGGUGAAAUGCAUAGAUAUCACGAAGAACUCCGAUUGCGAAGGCAGCAUACCGGAGACUAACUGACGCUGAAGCACGAAAGCGUGGGUAUCGAACAGGAUUAGAUACCCCAGUAGUC